ACGAACGCUGGCGGCGUGCUUAACACAUGCCAGUCGAACGGAAAGGCCCUGCUUUUGUGGGGUGCUCGAGUGGCGAACGGGUGAGUAACACGUGAGUAACCUGCCCUUGACUUUGGGAUAACUUCAGGAAACUGGGGCUAAUACCGGAUAGGAGCUCCUGCUGCAUGGUGGGGGUUGGAAAGUUUCGGCGGUUGGGGAUGGACUCGCGGCUUAUCAGCUUGUUGGUGGGGUAGUGGCUUACCAAGGCUUUGACGGGUAGCCGGCCUGAGAGGGUGACCGGCCACAUUGGGACUGAGAUGCGGCCCAGACUCCUACGGGAGGCAGCAGUGGGGAAUAUUGCACAAUGGGCGGAAGCCUGAUGCAGCAACGCCGCGUGCGGGAUGACGGCCUUCGGGUUGUAAACCGCUUUCGCCUGUGACGAAGCGUGAGUGACGGUAAUGGGUAAAGAAGCACCGGCUAACUACGUG
rnacentral:rRNA from 1 species